rnacentral:rRNA from 1 species
GACGAACGCUGGCGGCGUGCCUAAUACAUGCAAGUAGAACGCACAGUUUAUACCGUAGCUUGCUACACCAUAGACUGUGAGUUGCGAACGGGUGAGUAACGCGUAGGUAACCUGCCUGGUAGCGGGGGAUAACUAUUGGAAACGAUAGCUAAUACCGCAUAAUAUUAAUUAUUGCAUGAUAAUUAAUUGAAAGGUGCAAUUGCACCACUACCAGAUGGACCUGCGUUGUAUUAGCUAGUAGGUGAGGUAACGGCCCACCUAGGCGACGAUACAUAGCCGAACUGGGAGGGUGAUCGGCCACCCUGGGACCGGGACCCGGCCCAGAACUCUACGGGAGGCAGCAGUAGGGAAUCUUCGGCAAUGGACGAAAGUCUGACCGAGCAACGCCGCGUGAGUGAAGAAGGUUUUCGGAUCGUAAAGCUCUGUUGUAAGAGAAGAACGGGUGUGAGAGUGGAAAGUUCACACUGUGACGGUAUCUUACCAGAAAGGGACGGCUAACUACGUG